GGCUGAAGCUACUGUACUUCAGUUAGGAAGGAGCUGGGUUAGAUAUUUGCAAGUCCAGGCAGGAGGGUUGGGAGUGUGCAAAUCUAGCAGCUGGAGUGUGUUGUGGUAGCUGCUUUCCUGUGCUAAGCUGAUUUACUUGUUUAAGGUCUGACCUCAUCAUCCUGUCUGUAUGGGUUCCCACCUACACUGUUAGCUGCAGCUUUCUGCUUCAACUGGAAAGCUAGAAGUAUUCACAGUAUACCACAGACAGCGGGGGAGGGGAGAGCAAGAAAGACUGCUCUCGGCACUUAUGCUUUUGUUAGUCCUACAGAAGAGGCAGAGAAACAAGAGAUAACAAAGGCUGUUUCCUUUCUGUGAGAGAAGGCUUUUGUCUUUCCUCCUGCAACGAUGUCAGUGUCUGGCAAGAAAGAGUUUGAUGUGAAACAGAUCCUAAGACUACGCUGGAGGUGGUUUAGUCAUCCUUCUCAAGGUUCGCCCAACACUGGAAACUGCCUUCAGCAGGAAGGAUAUGAGCAUAGAGGGACCCCGGUUCAGGGCAGGUUGAAGAACCACUCUCGGGACAGAAAUGGACUGAAGAAAAGCAAUAGUCCUGUCCACCACAACAUACUGACACCAGUGCCAGGAUCGGCCCCUUCCCAUCAAAGAGCCCUUCAGAAUUGGCACCCACAAAACCUGAUAGAACAUCUUCGAGCAAAUGAAGAUACUCCUAAAGCAGUUCCAGAGGAGAAUUUGUUCAAAGAAGCUUGUGAGAAACACUCACAAGAUUUGGAGAUGAUGGCUGAUGACAAUACAGAAGAUUCAACAGCAAGAUUAGAUACACAGCAUCCUGAAGAAAUGAAUGUUAGUAGAUCUGAGGAGCACUUCCAUGCUGUAAACCAUGCGGAACAAACUCUUCAUAAAAUGGAGAACUACCUGAAAGAGAAACAAUUGUGUGAUGUGCUACUCAUUGCCGGACACCUCAGAAUCCCAGCCCAUCGGUUGGUUCUCAGUGCAGUGUCUGAUUAUUUUGCUGCAAUGUUUACUAAUGAUGUGCUUGAAGCCAAACAAGAAGAGGUCAGGAUGGAAGGAGUCGAUCCUAAUGCACUUGAUUCCUUGGUGCAGUAUGCUUACACUGGUGUCCUGCAAUUGAAAGAAGAUACUAUUGAAAAUUUGCUGGCUGCAGCUUGUCUUCUGCAGCUGACUCAAGUCAUUGAAGUCUGCUCCAAUUUUCUUAUAAAACAACUCCACCCUUCAAACUGCUUAGGGAUUCGAUCAUUUGGAGAUGCCCAGGGCUGUACCGAGCUCCUGAGUGUGGCACAUAAAUACACAAUGGAACACUUCAUCGAGGUAAUAAAGAACCAAGAAUUCCUCCUGCUUCCAGCUAAUGAGAUUUCAAAACUUUUAUGCAGUGAUGACAUUAAUGUUCCUGAUGAAGAAACUAUUUUCCACGCUCUAAUGCAGUGGGUAAGGCAUGAUGUGCAGGCUAGGCAACAAGACCUAGCAAUGCUGCUUUCUUACAUCAGACUGCCAUUACUUCCACCACAGUUACUGGCAGAUCUUGAAAACAGUUCCAUGUUUACUGGUGAUCUUGAGUGUCAGAAGCUCCUGAUGGAAGCUAUGAAGUAUCAUCUCUUACCUGAGAGAAGACCCAUGAUGCAAAGCCCUCGGACGAAGCCUAGAAAAUCAACUGUGGGAGCACUUUAUGCUGUGGGAGGCAUGGAUGCUAUGAAAGGUACCACUACAAUUGAAAAAUAUGACCUCAGGACCAACAGCUGGUUACAUAUUGGCACCAUGAGUGGCCGUAGGCUUCAGUUUGGAGUUGCUGUUAUUGAUAAUAAGCUCUACGUCGUGGGAGGAAGAGAUGGUUUAAAAACUUUGAAUACUGUGGAAUGUUUUAAUCCAGUUGGCAAAAUCUGGAUGGUGAUGCCUCCCAUGUCAACACACAGGCAUGGUUUAGGCGUAGCCACACUUGAAGGACCAAUGUAUGCUGUUGGUGGUCAUGAUGGAUGGAGUUAUCUAAACACUGUAGAAAGAUGGGAUCCUGAGGGACGUCAGUGGAAUUAUGUGGCCAGUAUGUCAACUCCUAGAAGCACCGUUGGUGUUGUUGCAUUAAACAACAAGCUAUAUGCUAUUGGUGGACGUGAUGGAAGUUCCUGCCUCAAAUCUAUGGAAUACUUUGACCCACAUACUAACAAAUGGAGUCUGUGUGCUCCAAUGUCCAAAAGACGUGGAGGUGUGGGAGUUGCAGCAUACAAUGGAUUCUUAUAUGUUGUUGGGGGUCAUGAUGCCCCUGCUUCUAACCAUUGCUCCAGACUUUCUGACUGUGUGGAACGGUAUGAUCCAAAAAAUGAUUCAUGGUCAACUGUGGCACCUCUGAGCGUUCCUCGAGAUGCUGUUGCUGUAUGUCCCCUUGGAGACAAACUCUAUGUAGUUGGAGGAUAUGAUGGACAUACUUACUUGAACACUGUUGAGUCAUAUGAUACACAGAAAGAUGAAUGGAAAGAGGUACUCUCAUUUAAAGUAUUCAAAUUGAUAUAUUUCACGUUUUAAUUUAAAAAUUAAAAUAUGUGUUUGGAAUUAAUCCCAUUCUCUUCCUCUCUAGGGCUGAACCAAAUUCUUUAAUGAAAUUUAUAGCAUGUGCUUUAUUUAGCUAUAGAGAAUUAUUAACUGAGCUGUUUUAUCAUUAGCAGGAUCCAUCAAUACUCAUAUAAAGUGGAGACAAGACAUUCUCUUAACGAUGGACUCAUUCCUUUUACAGAAAAGUGAAUCAGAUUCAAUAAUCCAAGAGCUUUACUCUCUGACCAACUUUCUAUGUAUGUAUUAUGACUUGAGAAGCAAAGAAUAAUGUCCUCACCCACAAAUGUCUGCCCUUUCUUAUUGGCUGGUGCCCAGGAGGAAAAUCUUUCAGUCCCCUCCUUAUAGAGGUUCUACAAAUUACAACACUCCUAACUACUGAUCAGUCAUUCAAGGGACUUGGUGCACAGUAAGAGACUGGAAUUAAACUCUCUCAAGAGUGCUGGGCAUCUAACAGAAGAAAUUCUAAGGAAAGUACAAGAAGGGGCACUGAAAGGACAUCUUGGUGGUGUUAAAGGAAACUUGAUGCUUCUGACAGCUUUGCAGUUAUAGCUCUGUAUUUAUUCCAAAAUGCCUAAUGGUGUUUUGUUGAUUAAAUGAUGGAUUAAUAAAAUAUGAAGUAUGAUUAACUCUUCACCAUUUCCACAAACAAGCAAACCUUGUAUUUGGUAUCAAACGUCACCUUUCCUUACAUUAACUUCAUGGUGCUCUGUUUUCUACGUAGUAAGCUGGUUACUGUUCUAAAUAAGUUAUGUGUAAUAUACUGACACCUGAUAAUGGGAUUCUAGCUCUUUCCUCCAACAAUAUGAUUCAUGAAGACCCUCAGAAAUAUUCAAGUUCUGCCAUGUAGGUAGCUCUUUACAAUGGUUAGGACAGCUAGAAAUGGAGGAAAAUAUUUAGAAAACAAGGAUGUAGGUCAAAUACAAGAAUCAAAAUAUUUGUAAUUUACUUUUCAGAAAAUUAUAGACUAGUAGCUAAGAGACCUAGACUCUAUUCCAGGCAUUUCACUGUUUCAUUGUGUGACCUUGAAAAUGGUGAAAGAGAACUAACAGAUAAUGAGAUUAUAACUACUAUAUGCCUAAUUAUUUUCAUUCAUUAUCUUCCUUAACCCUAACAAAAGCUCAUUGAAGAAUGAGUAUUAUUAGCUGUAAUUUUUAAAGUGAGAAAAUUAUCAGAGAGGUGAAAUUUACCCAAGAUCACCUGUUCUUCAAACUCAGGCCUACUUCAUUUUAAAGACUAUGCUCUUUCUACAUUGGACUAUUAUUUGGGCUGCAUUUUCCCAUAUCUUUAUACAAGAUGAAGGUUGGGCCAGAAUAGGAAGUUCCUGUUAACAUUGGAAGAGCUGGUGCAUGUGUUGUGGUGGUGAAGCUACCAUAAAGCUAUCUUUAUCAAAGGGAAGGAAACUGGAUAAUUUCAAGAAGUGGAGUAGGAAGAGGAGAGGAAGAAGAAAUAUGUUCUUUCCUUCAAUUAGUAAUCAAACAUGAAAAUUCUUGUGUCAUUUUAAUAUGUAGAUAUAAAUGCUCUCAUUUGUGAAGCCAAAGCAAGUUUUCAAACACUAAUUACAUAUAGGUGUUUAGUGUAUAUGUUGUUGCAGCUAAUAAUAUAAAUGAAAAUCCAGUAGUCUAUGUUUAGUCUCGUCACUUUAAAAUGUUAAAAUGUUUAAGAGAAAUUGAUAGUGACCAAAGUAUAAAAAGUUACAAAAGCAUCAGUAAUUUUGAGUCUGAUAAGUUAAAAACAUUUUCUAUUUCAAAAAAAAUUAAGUACCCUAUCAUUUGGAACGUAACUAAUAUAAAAGAGAACAUCUAAAGCUUAAAUUAUAAGGUUUGAUUUUCAGUAAGACAUCAUUCUUUUAUCUAAACAAUAUCCUAAAUAGCUAAAUAAUAUCUCACAUUUACCAAGAAGAAAGAUUUUACUGUGGUGAGAUUAAAAAAAAAAGAAAAAGCUCAUUGACAUAAUUUGUUAUGCUGAUCACAGUAGGUUAAAAUUUUCAGACUUACUCUUUUACAGUACCAUUUUCCAAAGCACACAUAUAGAUUUGGUAUUCCUUAACAUGUUGUCUUGUUAGGCAACAUUUAUUUUACCAGUAAAAUAUUAUUGUAAUUCCAUAUACACAAUCUAUACAAUAAAAUGGUGAAUAUUUAUCAUAUUGAUACAAACUGUGACCUCAGCUUUCGAGUGUCAGGGCCUCACUUGUAUAGACAGUAACAUUCUCCUCAAACAUUUCUAUGAACUCUUAAAACACCUGCCAUUAAGUUAAACCAGUUUUCAAAAACAAAGCAAUUUUUCAACAGCAGUAAAAUUGAGAUGUUCUACAAUAUUAACACAUGGAAACACCAAAAUGUUCAACAUCCGUGGUUAAUUCUAUAAUUAUCUUUUAUGUACCAGUACAUGAUUUUCUGUCAAUUUUAUAUUCAUCCAGUAGAGAAUAUUAAGGAUAUAUGCACUACAAAUGUUUUUAAAUUAAAAAACAACAAAAAAGACUAGCUGGGUAGUAUUUUACCUUUAAAUUCUCACUUCCAUGUCCAAUUAUUUAAAAAAAAGUGGGGGAGGUUGGCCAAAAAGUUCAUUUGGGUUUUUCCAUAAGAUGUUAUGGAAAAACCCAAAUGAACUUUUUGGCCAACCCAAUAUUUAAGAUAAAAUGUUGGAAAACCUUCUUUAUGAAAGUAACUUUUCAAUUAAAUUAUGAUUUUAGAAUUUCUGCAAUAUGUCCUUUUAAAUGGGCUUUGUAUUGUAGUAUGUGAAACCAACAAAUAAAAUCCAGAGAUGCUUAUAAAAUGUACUACUACUUUUAAGUUUUUAAAAAAAGAGCAACAUAGGUUGUACAAAGAUAUGUGUACUUUAACAAACUGAAUUUAAAUAAAAUCUAUUUCCUCUGGUUAUAAAGUGUGGCUUUAGAUUAUGUCAAGUGCAGCUUGAAUUGACCUUUUGAUAUUUAUUUUUCCAAUAGCUAAAGUAUUUAAAUAAAAAAAU